GUAGGUGAACCUGCGGAAGGAUCAUUACAACGUAUCCACGUAUAAACCUUUGUGAACAUGUUUAACCGCGUAGUUGUGGUUGUCGCAAAGCUGUACACGAUUCGGAAAUAAAGUGUACAGCCCGUUUCUCUCUCGCAGAGAAAGGACACUACGGCUGUGUUUUUCCGUUACACUAUUAACCACUGUAACUUUCUAUGUACUUACGAAUUAAUGGCGAAAGCUAUUUCUUCGAUAAAUAUAAGAAAUUAUAGCACAACUCUUAGCAACGGAUAUCUAGGCUCUC
rnacentral:misc_RNA from 1 species